UACGGAAGGUCCGAGCGUUAUCCGGAUUUAUUGGGUUUAAAGGGUGCGUAGGCGGGAGAACAAGUCAGCCGUGAAAUCGCGUGGCUCAACCACGCCCAGCGGUUGAAACUGUUUUUCUUGAGUACGGUGAGGGAAGGCGGAAUUCGUGGUGUAGCGGUGAAAUGCAUAGAUAUCACGAAGAACUCCGAUCGCGUAGGCAGCUUUCCGUACCGGUUACUGACGCUGAGGCACGAAGGUGCGGGUAU
rnacentral:rRNA from 1 species